UAGGGAAUAUUGGACAAUGGGGGCAACCCUGAUCCAGCCAUGCCGCGUGAGUGAAGAAGGCCCUCGGGUUGUAAAGCUCUUUUGUCCGGAAAGAAAAGCAUUCGGUGAAUACUCGGAUGUUCUGACGGUACCGGAAGAAUAAGCACCGGCUAACUUCGUGCCAGCAGCCGCGGUAAUACGAAGGGUGCAAGCGUUACUCGGAAUUACUGGGCGUAAAGCGUGCGUAUGUGGUUGUUUAAGUCUGAUGUGAAAGCCCUGGGCUCAACCUGGGAAUGGCAUUGGAAACUGGGCAGCUAGAGUGCGGUAGAGGGUAGUGGAAUUUCCGGUGUAGCAGUGAAAUGCGUAGAGAUCGGGAGGAACAUCUGUGGCGAAGGCGACUGCCUGGACCAGCACUGACACUGAGGCACGAAAGCGUGGGGAGCAAACA
rnacentral:rRNA from 1 species